CCUACGGGUGGCAGCAGUAAGGAAUAUUGGACAAUGCCCGCAAGGGUGAUCCAGCCAUGCCGCGUGCAGGAAGACGGCCUAUGGGUUGUAAACGCUGGGAACCCUAUAGGUAGUAUGGUGAGAAUAAGCAUCGGCUAACUUCGUGCCAGCAGCCGCGGUAAGACGAAGGAUGCAAGCGUUAUCCGGAUUCAUUGGGUUUAAAGGGAGCGUAGGUGGACUGAUAAGUCAGUGGUGAAAUCUCCUCGCUUAACGAGGAAAUUGCCAUUGAUACUGUUGGUCUUGAGUACAGUUGCUGUGGGCGGAAUAUGACAUGUAGUGGUGAAAUACAUAGAGAUGUCAUAGAACACCGAUUGCGAAGGCAGCUCACAAAGCUGUACUGACACUGAGGCUCGAAAGUGCGGGGAUCAAACAGGAUUAGAUACCCUAGUAGUC
rnacentral:rRNA from 1 species